GUACCUGCGGAGGGAUCAUUACACAAAUAUGAAGGCGGGCUGGAACCUCUCGGGGUUACAGCCUUGCUGAAUUAUUCACCCUUGUCUUUUGCGUACUUCUUGUUUCCUUGGUGGGUUCGCCCACCACUAGGACAAACAUAAACCUUUUGUAAUUGCAAUCAGCGUCAGUAACAAAUUAAUAAUUACAACUUUCAACAACGGAUCUCUUGGUUCUGGCAUCGAUGAAGAACGCAGCGAAAUGCGAUAAGUAGUGUGAAUUGCAGAAUUCAGUGAAUCAUCGAAUCUUUGAACGCACAUUGCGCCCUUUGGUAUUCCAAAGGGCAUGCCUGUUCGAGCGUCAUUUGUACCCUCAAGCUUUGCUUGGUGUUGGGCGUCUUGUCUCUAGCUUUGCUGGAGACUCGCCUUAAAGUAAUUGGCAGCCGGCCUACUGGUUUCGGAGCGCAGCACAAGUCGCACUCUCUAUCAGCAAAGGUCUAGCAUCCAUUAAGCCUUUUUUUCAACUUUUGACCUCGGAUCAGGUAGGGAUACCCGCUGAACUUAAGCAUAUCAAA
rnacentral:rRNA from 1 species